ensembl:lincRNA
AAUGGCUAACCUGUACCUCCCAGUACACGAGACUAGUACUGAUGUCUGCAUUUGAGGACACAUGCGCAUAAAUCAGCCAGUUUUGAUACAGAGAGUUGAUGAAUAAAGACCAUUAUUAUGAAAACCUCUUUUAAAUAUAAAUUCUAUUUUAAACACUCAGGUUCCCCAACAUGAUACCUGGUCAGAUAACAAAUGGAUGAGCAGAUGAGAAGAAUGGGAUUUAAUGAUGCGAAGCAUGGUUGUGAAUUAUGACAUCAAGCUUCCUUUCAGUUCAACCACUUUUCAAAAUGAAGAAAGAUGAGAGCAAGAUUAAGAGGAGAAGGACAAGGAGGAGAAAGAAAGAAGCGUGUUUAUUUUCUGCAAUCUAUAAAAGCACACAAUUCAUCCAGAAACUGCAGAAUUGCAGAGGAUUAGAUAGACAUCAUUUUGAAAGUCUUCAUUAUAGGCGUAUUUUAUUCAGUGUUUG